GUCCAGGGAUGGGAAUCGAACUCUGCUUACCAGGCAGAUGCCAUGUCCAUUAGGCUACCCUGGA